CAUACACAGAGGAGCUUGCUGUGUCUAGAAGACUAAUCCAAUAGGCAAGACCCACUGUGCAAUAAAGCUUCCUAUCAGGAUUCCACAUCUGGCCUGCACAUCUUAAUUUAAUGACGAGUUGUACUAAGAAUGUUUUCAGGCCAGGAGGAAGAAACAUGAAGCAAGAGGAACAUAAGGAACUUAUUGAGGCUAAGCCUUAGAGAAACCACUACAGUCUGUUCUCAAUUCUCUGUUUCACAUUCCUGAUAUGACCCAUGGUCUACAGGUACUUUGUUUUCUAUGCACUGGACUAGAAUUGUGGAUACUGCAAACCAACUUAGCUUCUUUUAAAUUGACAAGAACCAUGCUGCUCUUACACCUGCUGAGAAUCAAUGCAAGAACUUAUACACCAGACUGUUGAACAUCAUUCCUAUCCUUUCAUUUGGUAGACCAUUUAAUAAUAGUACCAUAUCCAUGUGUAUGCCACUGGGACGGAG